rnacentral:rRNA from 1 species
GUGGGGAAUUUUGGACAAUGGGCGCAAGCCUGAUCCAGCCAUGCCGCGUGCGGGAAGAAGGCCUUCGGGUUGUAAACCGCUUUUGUCAGGGAAGAAAUCUCCUGGGCCAAUACCCCGGGGGGAUGACGGUACCUGGAGAAUAAGCACCGGCUAACUACGUGCCAGCAGCCGCGGUAAUACGUAGGGUGCAAGCGUUAAUCGGAAUUACUGGGCGUAAAGCGUGCGCAGGCGGUCUUGCAAGACAGAGGUGAAAUCCCCGGGCUUAACCUGGGAACUGCCUUUGUGACUGCAAGGCUGGAGUGCGGCAGAGGGGGAUGGAAUUCCGCGUGUAGCAGUGAAAUGCGUAGAUAUGCGGAGGAACACCGAUGGCGAAGGCAAUCCCCUGGGCCUGCACUGACGCUCAUGCACGAAAGCGUGGGGAGCAAACAGGAUUAGAUACCCUUGUAGUCC